rnacentral:rRNA from 1 species
UGGGGAAUUUUGGACAAUGGGCGAAAGCCUGAUCCAGCAAUGCCGCGUGUGUGAAGAAGGCCUUCGGGUUGUAAAGCACUUUUGUCCGGAAAGAAAUCCUUGGCUCUAAUACAGUCGGGGGAUGACGGUACCGGAAGAAUAAGCACCGGCUAACUACGUGCCAGCAGCCGCGGUAAUACGUAGGGUGCAAGCGUUAAUCGGAAUUACUGGGCGUAAAGCGUGCGCAGGCGGUUUGCUAAGACCGAUGUGAAAUCCCCGGGCUCAACCUGGGAACUGCAUUGGUGACUGGCAGGCUAGAGUAUGGCAGAGGGGGGUUAGAAUUCCACGUGUAGCAGUGAAAUGCGUAGAGAUGUGGAGGAAUACCGAUGGCGAAGGCAGCCCCCUGGGCCAAUACUGACGCUCAUGCACGAAAGCGUGGGGAGCAAACAGGAUUAGAUACCCUGGUAGUCCACGCCCUAAACGAUGUCAACUAGUUGUUGGGGAUUCAUUUCCUUAGUAACGUAGCUAACGCGUGAAGUUGACCGCCUGGGGAGUACGGUCGCAA